rnacentral:lncRNA from 1 species
GCGGCGGCAGAUUUAACGGCAGGGCCCAACAGCAGCACGCUAGGCGGCGAUCUCGGGUCCUGUGUACAGAAGUGGCGUGCAUCUCCAUUCUUCCUCACCACAGCCAGUGCAAACACGCAGCCCAUAGCGAGUGACCGCGACUGCGCCACGGGCCCAGAGUGGACCGUAGCUCCGAGGGAGCACAGGACCAUGACCAUGACCAGGGCAGGCUAGGGUGCCUGGGCGGCCGGCGGAGGCGCGCCGUGGGACGAGCCUGUCCUCGGCCCCGAGGUUCCCACCGCUGCAGCCGGCGACAGGGCGACAGGCACCACAGGAGAUCAAUGUCCUCACAGGGGAUGGAAAGUUUUGCUGGGUAUGGUCAUCUGAGCUGGCAUCUACGAUCACUUAAGAGUCUGUAGGACUUUCUGGCUUUUACAGUCUCCAUUGAGACGUUGGAUAUAAUUCCAAUAGGCACAAUCACUUCCUGGAUCGUGGUUUUUUUCCUUCCGGUAAACAGCGCCUUAAACCCCAUCCUCUACACUCUCACCACCUCCCUUUUUAAGGACAAGUUGAAACAGUUGCUGCACAAACAUCGGAGGAAAUCCAUUUUCAAAGUUAAGAAGAAAAGUCUAUCUGCUUCCAUUGUGUGGACAGAUGACUCUUCACUUAAACUUGGAGUGUUGAACAAAAUAGCCCUUGGGGACAGUAUAAUGAAGCCGGUCUCCCCGUAGUGGUUUUGGAUCUCUGGACUUUGAGGGUACUACCUAAAACAAGGUACAAUUUGGGGAAGAUGGCAUCUGAGACGGUUUCCAUCUUGGCCGGCAGACAC